rnacentral:lncRNA from 1 species
UCAAUAAUUAUUUAAACUUAUCCGCGAGCAAAAUUCAUAGCCAAAAAAAUACCAGCACAGCUAUUAUUUUACAAGAAAAAAGCACUAUAGGUCAUCCUCUCCUAAGUAUAAAGUGUAUCCAAAAUCACAAAGAAGCUGAAAUUAAAAGCUGGCUACCAACAACUCCAAAAGCAGCAGAACCAUAGCAACUUGCUCAGCCCGUCUCCUAUAUGGUUUAUCAAAAAAUUAAAAAAAUAAAUGCUUAUUUUCUCCUUUCAUAAAGUAUUUUAUCUUAAGUAAAUAUUUACACCAUAUAAAGUUAUUUACACAAUUAAUACUAGUGUGUUUAUAAGAAUUUGUGUCAACCAGUAUUCAUAUUUUUUAGUAUUUAAUAUUUAAUUUAUAUAUGUUUCAUUUUAAUGAAUUAUAUCAUUUAUUUUGUAUUGAGUGUUUAUGAUAUUAAAAAUUGUAUUGGUGGUUUGAUAUUUUUUUGUACAUGUAACUUCCAUUUUGUAAUAAUAGUUAAUUAGAAGUACAACACAAACAAGGAGAAGUUAUAAAUAUAUAAUUUAUUUAGCAAUUUUAUAACUAUUUUUUGCAUUUUGCAACUUAUAUGUUGUAUAUUUGAAUAUAUCAUGGUCCAAUGAACUGAUCUUUCAGAAAUACUCACUUUAGAAAGAAAAAAGUAAAUAGUCUUUCAAUGAACUUUAAUAGAUAAUGAAAGAAUAUGAGACAAUUUAGUGACUUGGAAUUGAAACUAUUAUAGGUUUUGAAGCUUGAAUAUAACAUUUGAAUGAAAUUAAAUGAAAUCAAUUACCUCAAUGUCCUUUAUUUAUAUUUUGGCAAAGUUGAGAUAGAAAAAUUAACCUUGUUUAAUACAUAAAUAUAUCUUAUAUAUAUUUUGCCUUUUAUAUAGUAGUAUAAAUAUCAAUUAUUCAUGUGUAUUAUUGUGUGUUAAAUGACAAUGAAAAUUAACAAAUAAAUAAUAAAUGAAAAACAAUAAUUUUAAAAAUCUUACAAUCUGGAUGCAUAAAUUAUAUAUUUUAGGCAGAUAUGAAAAUUAUAUCUACGAGUCGAUUCAACCGGUAAAACGAUCGUAUAAUACAUUAUAAAUAUUAUACAUGUUAUACAAACAUAUCAAUUAAAAUUGACUAAAACUAGUCAUGUCCCCUGAUUAAUAUUUCAAUUGUAUUAGUUAUAAUGAUAUGUUUCCAUUUAAAAUUACAAAUUUUUAUGAUAGUGUUUUAAUUUUUACUUAAAUGUUGUUACACACAAACACUAUUUUUAUUUAUACUUUUAAAACAUAAUUUACUACCAAGUUACAUAUUUUAUUUUAACCAAUGAAAUAAAUAAAAAUAUUUAUCAUAUUAUAUAUUAGGUUUUAAAUAUUAAUAUUAGUAUUCUUAUUUAAUUUGUAUAUGUAUAUUUAAUUUUACUGUAUAUAAUUUAAUUAAAAAACAAUCAAUUGACUUCUGAUACAGGCAUCCAUCUGUCUUACCGGUUUGGACUUGGUGACCCUUAUUGUUAUUUUCUUUUUUAUUACAAUACAUAUGGAGUAUAUUAAUUAUAUAUGAAAAGAAUUUUAUAAAAAUGAGGGUUAUUAAUACUGUAUUGACCAUCAAAUUGGUUAGAAUAUUUGUAUAAUAAUAUAGUGGUUCACUAAUUAAAUAGUAUAUUGAUGAAAUUAAAUAUCCAUAUAUAAUAUAUUAAAAUUAAUGUUGAAAAAUUAAUAAAAAACCAAUAACUUUUUUAUUUUCAUUAAAAAAUUAAUUUUAAAUAAAAACCGACAAGUAUGAUCGGUACGGUUCAAUUAAAAAUCGGGCAGAAAGACCUAUUACAGCUGAUUUUUUAAAUGGUAUGAUUAUAUGACUGAUAUAAUUAUUAUACCAAUGCCAAAGCCAAAGGACGAGUUCACUGAUUGAAUCGGUUUUUAGAACUGGUGCCCAGUAUUACAUUCGUCCUGUCUCAUCUUUCCUGACUCUGUUAAUCCUUACACCUUAAGAUUCCUUAUUCCACUCCCUUGCACUACCCUUCUUAUUCUCCUCCCCCUUUCUUCUACUUAUUCCCAACCCUCUCAAUUUUAACGAGGUAUUACUUUAUUCUCUUCAAUUUUAUUUUCUUUUAACAUAAUUACUAUUAAUUUAUUUUCGUUACAGCAACUAGAUUCCCUAUUUAUGACCAGGGUUUGCCAAAAAACAAAACAGAAUACGGUUUGGUUUUCCUAUCUGUAUUUUCCUUCCUUCUCUAUAUAUACAAUAUUUCAUUUCCACCUUUCCACCGAUUCUUAUGCAAAUCUUCAUUUUUGAAGAAUAAAGAAGAAAAACUAAGAAUAUAAGAUCCCGAAUCAAGAUACAUACCAUGACGGAAGAACAUCGAUGCCAAGCUCCCGAAGGACACAGACUCUGUGCCAAUAACUGCGGUUUCAUCGGAAGCCCAGC